rnacentral:lncRNA from 1 species
CGAAUAAUCAUGAGGCUCACUAAUUAAAAGGUAAAUCAUACAUGAAGAUUUGACCAUUAAUCGCAUACAAAUUUGACCACUAGUCUCUACUACAUAAAGAAUAAUGCGCGAAAAACAACACAACUUUGAUUCUCCAUGAAAAUUAAGCCCCAUAAGCAGCCAUGUUAGCUGAAUAUCAUAUUUUGUUAUCCUAGAAGCAAAUCCUUAACACCAAAGUUACAUGACACAGAUAACCACACUUAGCAUUAAACCUUAAUUUGGGUCAUAAAAACCUUGUAAACUACUUCACCAUAAAACAAAUGCAGCUAAGUUUUAAAGCAAAGUCAAUAGUCA